rnacentral:lncRNA from 1 species
UUUUUUUUUUUUUACUCUGAUAGAUUGGAUCUCUUGCUGAGAGGACAUAUCCAGCUUUGUUAAUCUGUAGCAAUUGAAAAAGCAAAAGCAUUGGGUUGGUUUUUACAAUCAAAGGAGUCAAAUCUUUUUUCGGUCCUCUGUUUCUAAGAGAAGUAGUGCCCCAACUAUCUAAAACAAAAACAUCUCUUCACUGUAAAGCGGAGGGUGAGACUUUUUUCUAAGAAUGUUAAAAAUAAAUCAUCGCUCGAGGAUGCAUCUUAGGGUCUAUGGGCAUAAAGUUUCAGCAGGCUUGAGAAGCUUAUGCUUUUCUCUUAAGGAAGUCCCUUUGAUUGCCCCAGCAGAGACAGAAAUGCUAGGGAACUUAUUCCUGUUUGGCUAAGCCUUGGGAGGUAGAGUAUCUGUUAUCUAUGCUGGUGGGAAGUACUAUGUGUCUAGUAAAAUAGUUGAGGUGCUCUCAAGCUGGUCCGAACACCAGCAUUAUUUAUUAAAAAAAAAGUUCAUUUUAAUUGUUGUUGCGGGUGGGUGUCAUUGUAAAGCACUCUCGACUUUUUCAGCUUUGGAUUAAACAGGAUAUCUAUUCAGAAACCAUGUGGAUCAUUCUUUCUUAUAUGCUCUCGCCACCACAACUAAUUCUCGUAGCAGAAAAACAAAAUUUCUCUUAUAUGGUAACCUUUUAGUUAAAAAUUUUCUCUUCCAAAAGCAGUUAGUUUUCAUUUGCUUUCACCUGAGCUUAGACAUUGAUCAAGUUAUUAAAUCUAUUUCUUUUUGAACUUGUAGCUUGUGCGUUUGAAUCAAAAUGGAAACAAGUUUCAAGAAGACUGCCUCGUAAAAGGAAGACUACUGAGGAGCAGAAGCCAGAAGACAAUGGAUCUUCUGUAUUAUUGCAGCAUAGACAUGCAGCUCUGAAUCGCGUUCAAUGUUUGAUCGACUGCAGUCACUUAAAUAUUGAUUGGAAGUCUAACAUUUCUGAUUUAAUAAGUUGAAUUUAUUGUAUUGAAAAAUGCUACCACAGUUUUAAAACUUGCAAGAGUGACUUAUAAGUUUUGUUUUAAAUUUACAUGAGUAAAUAUAGUUGUGAAUUUUUAUAGGUAGGGAAUCAAAGAUGUCUAAACCAUUAAUGCAUUGAUAUCUCGAUGACAAUCUAUAUCUAUAUAUAUAUUAAAGCAAAAAAGUUUACCUUCUCAUUUAGCCAAGUGGCAAGCUAAUAUAAAGCCACUUGGCAAUUUAAGGNNNNNNNNNNNNNNNNNNNNNNNNNAUAGAACAACACUCCAAUAUUCAUUGCUGGCAUUAGUUUGCAAUAUCAUCUUACCGUUUGAAGGGAUAUAGAGGAACUUGACAUUUUUAGAAAUCUCCUUUAUUUCCUUGACUGCUUCAUCUUGUUUCUUUCCCUAUGGUGGAGCAUUUUUCUUGAGCAUCUCCAUGAGUGGAGAAAUGUAUGUAGAGAUAUUUGGGAUGAAAUCUCUAACAUAAUUUACUAUGCCCAAGAAUUGUUGAAUCUACUUUGUUGUGAGGUUGGUAUCCGGAAAUUUGAGUAAUUCUUGACAUAUAUGUGGUCCUGGACUGUAUUCACCUUGGACAAAAUGCAUUCUAAGAAAUUCAAUCUCAUUUUGAGUAAGAACCAUCUUUUUUGCUGAAAGCAUGAUUCCGUACUGUGUUACCAAUGCCUCAAAUUGCCGAAGCAAGUUGAUAUGUUCCUCCAAUGUAUCACUAAAUAAAAGGAUGUCAUCUAUAUAAACUAAAGAGGUAUGGAGAAUGGGUUGGAAUAUUUUUAUCAUGGCUUUUUGGAACAAGGAGGGUGCAGUUUUCAACCCGAAGGGCAUGACUUUCCAUUGGAAGUGAUGAUCGGGGAUGCAAAAUUCUGUUUUGGGUCUUUCUUUAGGGUGGAUUCCCAAUUGCCAAAAUCCGAAUUUUAAAUCAAACUUGAAAAAAUAUUUGGCCUUGGCUAAGUGGGAGAAAAUGGUGAGUUUAUUUGGGAUAGGAAACUUAUCAUCUUGGAGGAAAUGGUUAAGUGGCUGGAAGUUGAUGACUAUCCUGAGUUUUCCUCUUGUCCGUUCAGCUCUUUUGUUGACAUAAAACACUUCGCAUGCCCAUUGUGAAUCUGAUGGGUCUAUCAUAUCAAAUUCCAAAAGUUCUUCACAUUCUUUCUUUGCAAGAUGAAGAUGGUCUGGAUUCAUCCCUGAAUGGCUGGCUUUUGUUGGAUUGAUAUUUUCAUUCUUCUUGAAAGGGAGCUUGAUAAAAAACUCUUCGUUUUUCUAUAACGAGUGUUUCCCUUUCUUCAUGAAAUCCUUGUUGGAUUCAGCACAUGAUUGUUCAAUGAGAAUUUGCUCAUAUUCUUUGAUUUGUUCGUCAUCAGUGAUUUGGAAUAGCCUUGGAAUCUCAUAAUAAGGUCUGAACUGCUUUUAAAAGCUAUCCCGUUAUCCUUGAUCUGGAGUUGAUCUCUAAGUUGUCUGUAAAUGUCGAAUCCAAUAAUGAGAUCCUUUCCUGGUACAUCAGAUCCUAGUAGUUUAGUUCUGUACUUCAAUCCUGGAAAGAACUCAAUAUUGACUGGAUGCUUUGUGAUGACGGUGGUAGUCAGGAUUCCAUUUGAUGCAAUGUUAAAAUCCUUAAAGUGCGGCACCCAUUGAUCUUCAGGGAGAACGGAAGGAUUUAUGAGUGAGGAAGAAGCUUCGGUCGAUGAAAGAAAUAGCUCGAGUUGGUUUAUCCCAUUUGGAUGAAUAGACCUUGAGUUCUACUUGAGGAACGACUAUGAGAGCGUUGAUCUCCUCUCGGGCUUCGAUCACUGGUUCUGAAAUUUGGUAGUGAUCAUUGCCUUGAUCUUCAUAGACAUCAAGAGAGAAUAAAGUUUCUUCAUUAGGUUCACCAUCCACAGAGAAAAUGGAUUCAAGGUCCUCCUCUUUUCCGAGAUGUAUGCCAGUGUAAUCUUCAAUCUCUUCAAGGAGUUUGACAGAUCUUCUUAAUUGGGGACAGUUUUUAGCGAAAUGUCCAAUCUUGUGGCAAAUAAAACAUCUAUUUUUCUUGUGAAAAUUUCCUGGCCUUCUACGUCUAAAAUAUUUUGUGCGUCUCUUGGACCUUGAUUUCCCGUAUGGAAUUCAUGGCCAUUUGAACCUCCUAAAUUCUCUCCGUCGCCUAGAUGUGUGGCAGGAACAUCUGUUGAUACCUAAUUUUUCCCUAUAUAUUUCUAAUAUGCAAAAUACUUUCAAAAUAGCAUAUGUAUGCAUAUAUAAGUAUGUCCAAAUGCUUUAUUAUUUUUCAUUAAUUUUUUAAAAUUUUAAAAAUCAAUUUAUUGCCCUAUUUUAUCCAUAAAAAACCCAAUAAUUAUUCCCAAAAUUAUCAUUUUUGGUGAUUCAUUUAUUGGAAUAUAAUAUUUACACUAAAAUAUAGUUAAUGUGAUUUUUGCACAUUUUUACAAAUUUAUUUAUUAUUUUUAAAGCUAAAUUGCAUAUAAUUGCAAUAUUAGCCUCUUUUAGAUUUAAUUACGUUUAUGCCUAUAAAAAUCAGGUCCAAUAUUUUCAAUUUGAUAAUUAUGUACUAUUAAACAUUUUAAUACCUUUAAUUAUUUCCAAAAAUUAAUUUAUUAUUUUUUAUAAAUCAAAUAGGGAAUAGUGGCUAUUUAAAUGUUAGCCUCAUUUUGUUUCAAUUAUAGCCUGAAUUGAAUUCUAAUUUGGAGCCCAAUUACCAGAACCCAAUCCCUAUCUGAACUGACCCAUGACCCUUUUUAAAUGACCCGCCCGGAUUCCCAUUUAAUCCCAACCGUUGAUCGCUCAAAUCAACGGCUCACAUUAAACCUUUCCUUUUUUUUAAUUCCCAACUACCCCCUAACCCUAAUCACAAUCCACCUGCAGCCGCCUUUGAAUUCACCCUUCUCUCCCAAUUCUCUCUCAAACUCCCUCUCAAACCCUAGCCGCCACCUUCAACCACCACCCUAUUUGCUUCUUUGAACUGGUAUGUUCCGAUUAAAAUACCAGCAUCACAACAAUGUGUUUGCUUAAUACUUUUACCUUCUCGUUUGCCUACUGCUUGUGUUUAGUAUAGUACUUAUUUUAGUAUGCUGUAAAUUCCUUCUACCUGUUUUGAAUCUAUUAUGUGUCCUAAACCCCUACCCCAAUGUGUUUGAUACUGAUGGUUUGUUUGAGGCAUGAUAGUAUUAAGUAUUGCUAUCUAUGACUCAAACAUGAUUCCCUUGGGAUCAUAACCUCUAUGUUACCAUUAUAUGGUUGCAUAUUUUGGUUGAUUUUGUAAGCAUAACAGCACUCCCUAUUGCUGUGCAUGCCCAGAAUUAACUAAUGCCUAAGUGCAUAGGCGUUUUGCAAUCCCCAAUCCCUAAACCCCUUUGUGUGAAGUCCUUAAUUCUGUAACUGUUUCCCAGCACCUCUUUCCCUCUUCUUUAAUCUGUUUCUUCACUUACACUCUCUCUUAGACUUAGGUUCUGCCCCCCUCUUGAGCUCCCUCUGAACUUUGACACUUGAGGGCUGGCACUUCCACACUGCACUGGUCCCUAUUCUGGUAAUACAAUUUGGGUGUGAGCACUGCCCGGAGUCCCAUUGAGGCUAUUAGAGAACUCUGACACACUCAAUUGGAAAAAGGCUUUGGAUCAAUGAUCUUUGAGUUGGUUUAUCUCGUAACUUAGAGAGGAAGUCAAGAAUCAGGCCCCAACUGGUUGUAAUUUCUUUGUAUUUUUUCUGUUCUGAUGUAAUUCGUUAUUCUGGUUUGUAAUUCAUUGUAAUAAACAUUUGGGGCUGGCUAGUGAAAAGGGUUGGGUAGCUAUGCAUGCAAGGGUAGAAGUCAUGCUUAUAUGAAUGCUUUAAUUUUUGCGUAUUCAGUCACAUAUAGAAAUCAUGCCUAUAGGGUUGUUCUAAUUCUACACAUUCAACUCCAUAUAGAAACCAUGCCUAUAAGACUAUUUAAUCCUGUAUAAUCAACCACAUUUAGAUACCAUGCCUAUAAGGUUUAAAACAAGCUUCUGCAUUUAGAUACCAUAUCUAUAAGGCUUAAACGAGUUCUGCAUUAUGUCUAAAAUAAGUCACGCAUAGAAAUCAUGCCUAUAGGGUUUCUUAAGUAAUUCUGAUCAAUUCUCAUUCACAACCGACGUUAGAUAUAAAAUCGGUAAUAGUAGAACCUGUGAUCAAUUUGUUUAAAUUCUGCAUCUCUUUGUAAAUCUAAGUCCCUCGCUUAAUAAAGUAUAGCAAGCAUGCCUAUAGGGGUCAAACAAUUCAUUUCAAGUUUUAUUGUCUUAUCCCCUUCUGAAUUCAGUAGAUAUCAUGCUUAUAGGACCCGUCUAACACUUAGGCAAGCCUUAGAGUAAUGACUAUAAACUGAAUCUGCUCCUGUUAAUCAUUACAACCAGCAGGCAGGCCUGAUUCGGGCUUCUUAUCUGAGUUAUGUAAUAAACUAAAACUGCUUCAACAAUCCCCUUUUCCUCGUCUUUAAUACCUUAAAAUCAGACCUAAACAGUAUGUGUAAGUCAUGCUAAUUAUGUGCUUUCUUUGUUUAAGGAGGGAUAUAUGAGCCUUGUUUGUGUAUAUGCUUUCCCCUUGAUAUGCAAUAUGUGUUUUGUAUGUCGCCUUAGAAUUUUUUACCUUUGAAACUCCAAAUAAGCCCAACAUCCCUCCCUUUUAGGAUUAGUAGUCCUAGGUGCCUUCGGGGCUGAUAGGAAUGGGACGGGUAAUAGCAUGCAAUAAGUAAUCGAGACCAAUCUGCGCUUUAAUACCUUAACGGGAUGGGAAGGGUAGAUAUGGAUAUGAUGACCACGCGAUAAUGUCACGUGUUGCCCCUCAUUGAGGAGUGAUUACCGGAUAUUGUGUGGGGUUACCCAUACUUUUUUUAUAAACCUAAGACCCCCUUUUCUUUAUUCUUUUAGCAAUUUAACUCCUAAUUCUAAAAAAUCAGCUUUUCUAAUUAUUCUUUCAAACUUUAUUUACUUUCAAACCAUCAUGUGUUGAAAUCCCCUCUUAUUUGAGCCUUAGUUGCUUAUAUGGUAAUUGCACUCCAAAUUCACAAUAAUUAUCUGGCCGGGAACCGCACUAGUGGAUUCUAAGAGGUGCCUAACACCUUCCUCUUAGAAUAAUUUCAAACCCUUACCCUAUCUCUGGUUGUUCAAAUCAAACCCUUUGGUGUCCUAAUGCACCCUAAUCAUUAGGUGGUGACUCUUCAAAUUCAAACCCAAUUCCCAAAAGGAAUGAGUUGUCCUUCCAAAUGACAUAAACCCGGACUCUACGAAGAAAAAGGGGGCACGACAACAUCCUGACCCGGUGAUUAGGUCAGAUUUGCGGCAUGCUUUGUCAAGCGCUAGAUUGUGUUGGAUAAUUUGUUUUAGGGCAGAGCGCUUCGUAAAAAUGUCAUCUAUGCGACGAAAAUAGAUUGUCUGAUAUAACUAAUUUGAGGGAUUGUUACAGACUAAAACUUUUCUUCAAUGAUGGUCAUAGUUCGGCUUACCAACAACUUUGGAAGGGAAGAGAUAAUGGCUUGAUUUAGAUUGAUGUCUCCACCGAUCUCGAAGUAUAUCUUCACCAUUUUUUGAAAAUGUCUGUCAAUGUCAUAUCUGUCGAAUGAUACACACUUCAUCUCGAAGAGUUGUCUUCGCAUUUUCUCCUGUCUUUGGCCAGUAUCUCUACAGAAAACUUCAUGUACGACUUUGAUGUUGAACGCAAAAUCUUGGGAUGUAAGAAAAGUAUUUUUGUUUUGAAUUUCAAGUGAGUUCCACCAAUCUUUGAGAAUUCCUGAGAACCGUGAAGUGAGUUCUGACAAGAUGAUAUACUUUUCUCGUUCCACUAAAUUUUUGGUCACCAUCCAAGUAUAGAAGUCUUGGAUCCUUUGAGUCCAUCUUGAAACCUUGACAUCAUCUAAGGUGAAAGUGUGGAAGCUAGUUCCAACUGGUUUUGACGCCAUGGGCUCAUAUCUUCUUUCUGGGAUUGGUUUAUCUGUCAUGCCUUCUUGUUCCUCAUCUACUUCAGAUACUUCUGGGUCUCUUGGCUAAUUUACAAAUAUUGGGGGAUUGUCAUCUUCGGAAGAGUUUGUUGUGGAUUUAUUGCUUGAUUGAGAGAUAUCUUCCAUUGUUUCAUCGUCUGAUGAAUUCAGAAUUCUGACCAUGGAGUAUCUUCUUCUGAUAUGUAUCUUGGUUGGGAAACAUAGAGGUCUAGAGCCUUCUGGUCAGAAAUCAUCAGAUUUUCGGGGUUCGAUCCUUUUGAACUUUCUCCUUGGUCUCGCCUUUUCUUUGUUUGUUUUUGCGCCGCAAGAGCGUCCUUCCUUUCCCAAACCAUUUUUGUAAUAUCAAAAUCAUGUUCUUCUUUAAGGGUUGGGUGAAAGUGAUUGGAUUUUGUGAGGUAGAUGGAAAAGUAGAAAAGGUGUAGUCUAAUUUAGGUGGGCAAUAUGCUUGUGGAGACAUGGGGAAGAAGGUAGGUUUUGAGUGGAAAACAGGGGUUUUUUGUGGCUCAAAGUGGUCAUUUAUCAAAAGUUGAAUUUGUUCUCUAAUGGAAAUCGUCCCCUUUUGUUGUUGUUGGAAAAAUUGGAAAAGUGAAUCCUUUCGGAGGGAAGAGCAGUUUACUAAAUAUGUUUGAGUCAUUUCCAUCAUCCUCUUCCCUAGAAAAAAUGAAUAUGUCUCCUACUCUAUAUAAAGCCUUGUCCAAAAAAAAUGAUUACCUCUAUGAAGUAAAUAUCCUGCCCGAUGAACAAAAAGUAUCCUCCACUGAAAUACCCCUCAUAAACCCCUACUCAGCUUUUGUCAAAAAAUCAUUUGCACCUUGGACCCAAAUUCGUUUCUUAGUCCAACACAGAUCAAAAGGAGUUAAAGAAUAUGUUGUUGCCUCAAAACUUGACCAGCAUCCUAUAAUUGCCACUCGAGAGGACCAAUUUAUCACCCUUCAAAUCCCAGAUGAUUUUCCCAGGCAAUGGAGAGAUCAUGGUUUUACCCAUAUCCAUUUUGGUGCUAUCCGAAUCGCUUUAACAUAUCACGGAAGAAAAAGGUCAACCUGUUGUAGCUCGACUUUCUCUUCUAGAUACAAGAUACUUGGAGUACCAACAUGCAAAUCUGGGCACUGCAGAAGUUACCCUGAAUGCUGGGACUGUCUUCAUAACUAUCUUUCCAAAUUUUAACAUGUCCCUUUAUGAUCCAUACUUAACCGAAGAACUAAAAAUCCAAGUCCAAAUCCAAGGAGCCCCUCAAGCCAAAGAUUCCAUCCAAGCCACUAUUCAUCACCAAAUGGCGUGGUGAGUCCAAAAUUAUGCCAUGGAUCUUUGCCUUCCCGGAGGAGAAAAUGCUUUACACUUAAAUAUUGAUGCUACCAAAGGAAACACCAUGUGCACCCAAAUACCCAGACAAAUUUCUAGAGAUGAACUUGUCAAAAUUCUUCCUGAUUCCUGGAUCACAAAUUAUGAAAAGUUAAGAGAACCAGAGGAAUCUCUGCAAUCAGGUGAACCAACUUUUACCAAAAGAAAUGACAAAACCGUCUGCAUAAGCUUUGACCAUUCCCAUCUCAAAAAACCCAAUAAAACCAUCUUUUCUUGCCAAAUGAUUCAACCCAAAGGUACAACAAAUACAUACCCUGGACCUGAUGGAGAAUUCUUUUGGAAUAUACAAAGCAUCAUGGAAGAACAUGAUUGGUGUCAAAAUUUUAACAGAGAAGGAAAAAGAGCUUGGUGGUUCAAAUGCCCCUUUACAGGACCCUGCCCUUGGGAUUUUGAUUGCGACUCCCAAGACUAUUUGGAAGAUCUAGUUGGAGAAUAUGAUGAACACCACCAGCGUUAUUGGGAAAGGUUCGGCCUCAACAAAACCAAACAAAAAUCCAAGAAAAAGGGGAAGACCAUUGAAAAACAAUUUCGAGCCAAAUAUGAAAAUAAAGAUCCUUCAAUUGGCUCAUUAAGCCGUCCAGGUAAAUAUGAAUUUCUUGUCAGUUACAAACCCCAGGAAUGGCCAAAAUUACCAGAAAAAUUUACUCCAAGCUGGGAGGAUAGUGAAACUACACCCAAACCCAAAUCACCAUCAGCUCAUACCUCAGAAUCCAAAAAGCCACCUGAACCUGAAACUUCACCAACUUAAAAAAACCACAAAUCCCACACAACCACAAAUAUUCAUGCUAAGUCCUUCAAGAUCCAGUCAUACCCUAGAUUUUCCUUCACUCCAACCUUUUGAAAAGGAGGGUAUAAGCCAUGUUCCAAAAAUUCCCAAGAAAAACAUAGUGCUACCUACUGGAGAAAAACCCCCAACAAGUGACAUCGAAGCAACAAUGAACUGGCAAUCAGAAAACUCCAUCUGCCAAAACAAGGUAUUGAACAACAUUGGCAACACCAUAAGGAACGUGGCCCAUACACAAAAUAAAAUGAUGAGCAAAGUGGAAACAAUUGAGAAAAAUAUGGAGCAAACAUCGUCUCACCAUGCCGGACUAAUCAAAGCCUUGGAACUGAGGUUGGCAAAUUUACAAUACGAGAUUUGUCCUCCAGGAACUUCACUUUUCCAAUUUUUCCAACAACAACAAAAGGAAAUGAUUUCCAUCAGAGAACAAAUUCAACUUUUGAGAAAUGACCACUUUGAGCCACAAAAGACCCCAGUUUUCCCCUCAAACCCUACAUUCUUCCCUAUGUCUCCACAAGCAUAUUCCCCACCUAAAUUAGACUACACCUUUUCUACUUUUCCAUCUACCUCACGAAAUCCAAUCACUUUCACCCAACCCUUAAAAGAAGAACAUGAUUUUGAUAUUGCAAAAAUGGUUUGGGAAAAGAAGGACGCUCUUGCGGCGCAAAAACAAACAAAGAAAAGGCGAGACCAAGGAGAAAGUUCAAAAGGAUCGAACCCUGAAAAUCUGAUGAUUUCUGACCGGAAGGCUCCAGAACUCUAUGUCUCCCAACCAAGAUACAUAUCAGAAAAAGAUACUCCAUGGUCGGAAUCUCUGAAUUCAUCAGACGAUGAAACAAUGAAAGAUGGCUCUCAAUCAAGCAAUGAAUACACAACAAAAUCUUCCGAAGAUGACAAUCCCCCAAUAUUUGUAAAUCAGCCGAGAGACCCAGAAGUAUCUGAAGUAGAUGAGGAACAAGAAGGCAUGACAAAUGAACUAAUCCCAGAAAGAAGAUAUGAGCCCAUGGCAUCAAAACCAGUUGGAACUGGCUUCCACACUUUCACCUUAGAUGAUGUCAAGGUUUCAAGAUGGCCUCAAAGGAUCCAAGACUUCUAAACUUGGAUGGUGACCAAAAAUUUGGUGGAACGAGAAAAAUAUAUCAAUCUGUCAGAACUCACUUCACGGUUCUCAGGAAUUAUCAGAGAUUGGUGGAACUCACUUGGAAUUCAAGACACAAAUACUUUUCUUACAUCCCAAGAUUUUUCCUUCAACGUCGGAAUCCUACAUGAAGUUUUCUGCGGAGAUACUGGCCAAAGACAGGAGAAAAUACGAAAACAACUCUUCGAGAUGAAGUGUUUAUCAUUCGACAGAAAUGACAUUGACAGACAUUUUCAAAAAAUGGCGAAGAUAUAUUUCGAGAUCGGUGGAGACAUCAACCUAAAGCAAGCCUUUGUCUCUUCCCUUCCAAAGUUGUUGGCAAGUCGAACCACGACCAUCAUUGAAGAAAAGUUUCAGUCUAUAACAAUCCCUCAAAUUGGUUAUAUUAGGCAAGCUAUUUUCGUCGCAUUAGAUGACAUUUGUACGAAGCGCUCUGCCCUAAAACAAAUUAUCUAACACAAUCCAGCGCUUGAUAAAGCAUGCCGCAAAUCUGACCUAAUCACCAGGUCAGGAUGUUCCUGCCACAUAUCUAGGCGACAGAGAGAAUUUACGAGGUUCAAAUGGCCAAGAAUUCUAGACAGGAAAUCAAGGUCCAAGAGACGCACAAAAUAUUUCAGACGUAGAAGUCCAGGAAAUUUUCACAAGAAAAAUAGAUGUUUUAUUUGCCACAAGAUUGGACAUUUCGCUAAAAACUAUCCCUAAUCGAGAAGAUCUGUCAAACUCCUUGAAGAGAUCGAAGAUUACAUUGGCAUACAUCUCGAAAAAGAUGAGGACCUUGAAUCCAUAUUCUCUGUGGAUGAUGAACCUAAUAAAGAAACUUUAUUCUCUCUUGAUGUCUAUGAAGAUCAAGGCAAUGAUCACUACCAAAUUUCAGAACCAGUGAUUGAAGCCCGAGAGGAGAUCAACACUCUCGUAGUUGUUCCUCAAGUAUAACUCAAGGUCUAUUCAUCCAAAUGGGAUAAACCAACUCGAGUUAUUGCUUUCAUCGACACUGGAUCUGCUUCCUCACUCUUAAAUCAUGCUGUUCUCCCUGAAGAUCAAUGAGUGCCGCACUUUAAGGAUUUUAACACUGCAUCAAAUGGAAUCCUGACUACCACCGUCAUCACAAAGCAUCCAGUCACAAUUGAGUUUUUUCCGCGAUUGAAGUACAGAACCAAGCUGCUAGGAUCUGAUGUACCAGGAAAGGAUCUUAUUAUUGGAUUUGACAUUUACAAACAACUUAGAGAUCAACUCCCGAUCAAGGCUAACGAGAUAACUUUUAAAAAGUAGUUCAGACCUUAUUCUGAGAUUCCAAGGCUAUUCCAAAUCACCGACGAUAAACAAAUCAAAGAGAUUGAGCAAAAUCUCAUUGAACAUUCAAGUGUUGAAUCCCAUAAGGAUUUCAUGAAGAAAGGGAAACACCGGUCAUGGAAAAACGAAGAGUUUUUUAUCAAGCUCCCUUUCAAGAAGAAUGAAAAUAUCAACCCAACAAAUGCCAGCCAUUCAAGGAUGAAUCCAGACCAUCUUCAACUUGCAAAGAAAGAAUGUGAAGAACUUUUGGAAUUUGAUCUGAUAGAGCCAUCAGAUUCACAAUGGGCAUGCGAAGCAUUUUAUGUCAACAAAAAAGCUGAACAAACAAGAGGAAAACUCAGGUUAGUCAUCAACUACCAGCCACUUAACUAUUUCCUCCAAGAUGAUAAGUUUUCUAUCCCAAAUAAACUCGCCCUUUUCUCCCACUUAGCCAAGGCCAAAUAUUUUUCCAAGUUUGAUUUAAAAUCCGAAUUUUGGCAAUUGAGAAUCCACCCUGAAGAAAGACCCAAAACGGAAUUUUGCAUCCCCGAUUAUCACUUCCAAUGGAAAGUCAUGCCCUUCGGGUUGAAAACUGCACCCUCCUUGUUCCAAAAAGCCAUGAUAAAAAUAUUCCAACCAUCCUCCAUACCUCUUUAGUUUAUAUAGAUGACAUCCUGUUAUUUAGUGAUACAUUUGAGGAACAUAUCAACUUGCUUCGUCAAUUUGAGGCAUUGGUAACACAGUACGGAAUCAUGCUUUCAGCAAAAAAGAUGGUUCUUGCUCAAAACAAGAUUAAUUUUCUUGGAGUGCAUUUUAUCCAAGGUGAAUACAGUCCAGGACCACAUAUAUGUCAAUAAUUACUCAAAUUUUCGGAUAUCAACCUCACAACAAAGUAGAUCCAACAAUUCUUGGGCAUAGUAAAUUAUGUGAGAGAUUUCAUCCCAAAUAUCUCUAUAUACAUUUCUCCACUCACAAAGAUGCUCAAGAAAAAUGCUCCACCAUGGGGAAAGAAACAAGAUGAAGCAGUCAAGGAAAUAAAGGAGAUUUCUAAAAAUGUCAAGUCUCUCUAUAUCCCUUCAGACGGUAAGAAGAUAUUGCAAACUGAUGCCAACAAUGAAUAUUGGAGUGCUGUUCUAUUUGAAGAAUAAGAUGGCUAGAGGAAAAUAUGUGGAUACGCUAGUGGAAAGUUCAAAGAUAACCAAGGAUUUUCCACAAGAACUAUUAUGGUUUUUCUGGUACUUAUGCCAUCAGUAUUAUAUUUUCAUGGAAUUCAAAUGCAACGUCUUCAAGGAUUUUGAUAACAUUGCACCAGCUCUUAAAGUAUUAUGGUUCAAGCCUAGAAGAUAUUGGAUGAAAUGUUUCAGCGAUUCCUACGCAACAAAGAUAUUUAUGUUCCAUAGGCCAGUGAAGAUCAUUAAUGGAAAAGUCCAGGCACAAGCAGAGGCAUCAUUCUGGUGGAAAUUUCUCGUGUCCAUUUUAUCAAUGGAGGAAGAAUAUAGCGAGGCACAAAGAAUCUUUUUCCAACAAAAUAGGUGUAUCCCGAGAGAGAUAUGGACAAAAGAUUGGGCAAGCUGGAAUUAUACCAAUACUCAUCCUCACUGGGAAAGAGUCAGGGAAGCAGCAAAAGAAUAUCAAACCCCAUACGAAGUCAUCCGAGAAAAGAUCACUCACGAUAUUUCCAAAUUAAAGUUGUGGAUUACAUCUCUCAAUCCAAAGGAGAAAGAACACAACGGAGAAAGACCGUCAAGUUCCAGGCAUUACUACACAAAAAGAUGCCUAGAAGACAACCCAAGAAUCAAUGAAGGAUAAUUAUUUAAAUCCCUACUAAUCGCACCAUAAUCCUACAUUACCCACCAAAAAACCCUUCAAAAUCAUCUACCCAUGGCAAGGCAAAUUUUCACAUCUUUCCAUACUAUCCGGGCCCCACUUCCACUUGUUUUCACAUGCUUCCACAUGCUUCGUCACAUGCAACACCCUAUUUUCAUAUGUAGUCACAUGCUCCCUCAUACUUUCACAUGUUAUACCAUGUAUAUUUCGCCCCUUUCACAUGUUUUUAGGAGCUUUUUAGUUGUUUUGCCUAAAGUCCUUCACAUGCCAAAAAGGACCCACAUGUAGAUAGGUUUGCCAUGUAAGAUAGGUUUAUUUUAUUAUGUAAGUUUGUCUUGUAAUAGCCUGCUAGUCCUAUAUACAGGAGGCCUUGUAGUAGUUGGAAGAUCAUCUUGUAACCUUUGUAAAUCUUUUGUGAUAUAUUAUAUAUGAGUGCUUUCUAAAUUUCCCUCUUGUUCUUUCUUUCGAAUGGAUAGAAAGGUCGGUCCAUGUAUGAAAAUAGAGUAAGAAAACUCUUUGAAAAUUAGCUUAUUGUAGUACGAAAGUUUUCUGAGUUAUAAACAGCUAACGUUGGUUAUAGUACAAAAGUUUUAUGAGUUGUAUAGCUUGGCAAACCGUCCGUUAUGGGUUGUUGAAGCCAGCCCCUUUGUAGGAAAACUUUUGCGAGUAUAAACAAAUUAACUGUUUGUGUAGCUUGGCAAGCCGUCCUUUAUGGGUUGUUGAAGCCAACCCCUUUGUAGGGAAACUUUCGUAUCUAUAAUUUAGUUUGCUUUCUUGGAGUCUCUUACUUUGUUCUUUAUAUUGUGGAGUGUUGGCCAUGUUCUCUCUGAUGAGCAGCAGGUUCAUGCAGUGAUCUGGUCUCUACCCAAUAGUUGGGAACAUUUGAAGGUUAACUUAACCCACAAUGAUAGCAUCAAAACUUUUGUUGAUGUUGCCGUCAUGUGGAGCUUGAAGACGAGCGACUUGGUGCUGCUAAAGCUGUACCUAAUGCCUUUGUGUCAGAAUCAAGUGGUACAAAGAGAUCAAGCUUCAAGCGCAAGAGAAACUGGAAAAAUGACGGAAAGGGUAAGGAGACCGGAGAAGGACCCUCCAAAAAAAGAAACAAGCCAAAUUCCAAGAAAGGAAAACGGUUCUACAAGAAGAAAGACAAGAGCAAGAUGAAGUAUUACAAUUGCCAAGUCCCAGGGCAUUUUGCUCGUGAGUGCACUGAGCCGAAAAGCUAGCAUUUCAAAGCGCAUCUCUUAGUGCUAUAUAUAUUUCUAGCACUGUUUUACUAACUGAAUCUUAUCCUGUGUGGAUUGUAGACUUAGGGGCCACUAACCAUGUGAGUCGCAAUAGAGAAGCAUUUAUAGAGUUUCGUCGAGUUCCACCUAGAUCAAAGCAUGUAUAUAUGGGAAACAAUGCAAAGCUUGAAGUCAAAAGGAUAGGCACUUGCAGAAUGGACAUGCGUGGUGGUUAAUCUUUGAUGUUGCAUGACGUCCUAUAUGUUCCAGAGAUUCGACAAAACUUAGUAUCUGUGUCUAUUCUUCAAGAUUUAGAUUUCAAUUUGAUAUUUAGUCGUAGUGGUCUUAGAAUUACUCAAGACAAUGUUUUUUAUGGGUUUAGNNNNNNNNNNNNNNNNNNNNNNNNNNNNNNNNNNNNNNNNNNNNNNNNNNNNNNNNNNNNNNNNNNNNNNNNNNNNNNNNNNNNNNNNNNNNNNNNNNNNNNNNNNNNNNNNNNNNNNNNNNNNNNNNNNNNNNNNNNNNNNNNNNNNNNNNNNNNNNNNNNNNNNNNNNNNNNNNNNNNNNNNNNNNNNNNNNNNNNNNNNNNNNNNNNNNNNNNNNNNNNNNNNNNNNNNNNNNNNNNNNNNNNNNNNNNNNNNNNNNNNNNNNNNNNNNNNNNNNNNNNNNNNNNNNNNNNNNNNNNNNNNNNNNNNNNNNNNNNNNNNNNNNNNNNNNNNNNNNNNNNNNNNNNNNNNNNNNNNNNNNNNNNNNNNNNNNNNNNNNNNNNNNNNNNNNNNNNNNNNNNNNNNNNNNNNNNNNNNNNNNNNNNNNNNNNNNNNNNNNNNNNNNNNNNNNNNNNNNNNNNNNNNNNNNNNNNNNNNNNNNNNNNNNNNNNNNNNNNNNNNNNNNNNNNNNNNNNNNNNNNNNNNNNNNNNNNNNNNNNNNNNNNNNNNNNNNNNNNNNNNNNNNNNNNNNNNNNNNNNNNNNNNNNNNNNNNNNNNNNNNNNNNNNNNNNNNNNNNNNNNNNNNNNNNNNNNNNNNNNNNNNNNNNNNNNNNNNNNNNNNNNNNNNNNNNNNNNNNNNNNNNNNNNNNNNNNNNNNNNNNNNNNNNNNNNNNNNNNNNNNNNNNNNNNNNNNNNNNNNNNNNNNNNNNNNNNNNNNNNNNNNNNNNNNNNNNNNNNNNNNNNNNNNNNNUUAGGUCACAUAGGGCAGGAUCGAAUGAAUAGAUUGGCUAAGGAAGGACAUCUAGGUCCUUUCUCUAAAAUUGAAAUGCCAAAUUGUGAAAAUUGUCUUGCUGGAAAGAUUAUACGUAAACCAUUUGGAAAGGCUAAGAGAGCUCAUUUUCCAUUGCAAUUAAUCCAUUCUGAUAUCUGUGGUCCAAUGAAUGUGAGGGCUAGGUCUAGUGCUUUAUAUUUCAUUACGUUCAUUGAUGAUUUCACACGCUUUGGUUAUGUCUAUCUGAUCUCUCAUAAAUCUGAAGCACUUGAAUGCUUUAAGAAAUAUGUGAAUGAAGUUGAGAAUAAAUUAGACAAAAGGAUUAAGACCAUAAAACCGAUAGAGGGCGUGAAUAUCUUUCAAAAGAAUUUGAAGGAUUGUGCAAUUAAAAGGGAAUCACCAGAGAGUUAACUAUUCCAUACACACCUCAACAAAAUGGUGUACCAGAAAGGAGGAAUAGAACACUACUGGACAUGAUAAGGUCCAUGAUGGCGCAAACAAAUUUACCUAUCUCCUUUUGGGGAGAUGCGUUAUUGACUGCAACUUAUAUAUUAAAAAAGUGCCUUCUAAAUCAGUUUCUUCCACUCUUUAUGAGCUAUGGACUGGUCAUAAACCAAACUUAAAGGAUUUACAACCUUGGGGUUGUGCUGUAUAUGUAAAAGAUUCUUUUAGCAAGUUUGAUAAAUUAAGUCCAAACAUCAAGAAAUGUAUCUUUAUAAGAUAUUCAGAACACUCCAAAGGGUAUAUGUUCAUUAGUGGAUUAGAGGAUGAAAGUGUUACUGAGAUUGAAUCGCGAGAUGUCACUUUUAUGGAAAAUGAUUUUCCAAAGAAGGGCGAGGUAAAGAAUGGAGAGGCUCUUUAUGAAAUGUUGAACCCAGAUAGUCAGCAAGUGUCUUUUGACACAAUUGAUAAUCAAAUUGAUCAAGAUCUUAUUCUUGAUCCGAGUGGGAGUGGGAGUGGGAACUCUCAAUCCCGAAAUCCUUCUAACGAACCUGAAUUUCAACUACGAAAGAGUUCCAUGAAAAAUAUACCCAAACGUACUUAUGAAAUGGAAGAUUAUAUUUUCUUGGUAUCUCCCACAGAAAUGGAUGAGCCAAAGUCUGUGACUGAGGCUUUAUCGAGCCCUGGAAAAGAUGAGUGGAUGAAAGCAAUGAAAGAAGGACUAGAGUCCAUGAAAACCAACAAAGUCUGGGAUCUAGUUGAUUUUAUGCCUGGGCAUAGAGCCAUUGGGAACAAAUGGGUCCUCAAAGUUAAACGCAAAAUGGAUGGGUCAAUAGAAAAAUACAAGGCACGAUUGGUGGCAAAAGGCUUUACUCAAGAAGCUGGAAUAGAUUAUGAGGAAACAUUUUCACCAGUUGUGAAGUUUACCUCAAUUCGCUUACUUUUGGCUAUUGUUGCACAUUUGGAUUUGGAAUUACAUCAAAUGGACGUGAAGACAGCUUUUCUCAAUGGAGAACUAAAUGAAGAAAUCUACAUGGAACAACCUGUAGGCUUCAUCGUUAAAGGCCAAGAAAAGAAGGUAUGUAAAUUGAAAAGAUCUGUUUAUGGCCUGGAGCAAUCUUCAAGGCAAUGGUAUUUGAGAUUUCACAAGGAGGUGAUAUCAUAUGAUUUCACCAUGAUCGAUGAAGACCAUUGCAUUUAUGUGAAAAAGUCCAAUGGGAUGUUUGUAAUUCUUUCUCUUUAUGUGGACGAUAUUUUAUUAGCUAGAAAAAAUUUGGAGUAAGUGAAAACUAUCAAGUCAUGGCUUUCAAAGUCAUUUGACAUGAAAGAUAUGAGCGAGGCAGACUAUAUCCUUGGAGUUAAGAUCGAAAGAGAUCGUUCCAAUAAGUUAUUGAGUUUAUCUCAAGAAACUUAUAUAAAGAAAAUUUUGGAGCGUUUUCGUAUGAAUAGUUGCAAAUCCAUGGAUACUCCUAUAGAGAGAGGUGAAAUUUUAAGCCUUGAAAUGUGUCCCAAGACUGAAAAUGAAAAGGAAGACAUGUCUCGAGUUCCAUAUUCAAGUGUUGUCGGGAGCUUGAUGUACGCUAUGUUGUGUACUCGCCCAGAUAUUUGUUAUGUCGUAGGUCUGGUUAGCAGGUAUCAAUCCAAUCCUGGAAGAGAUCAUUGGAAAGCUGUGAAGAGAAUUUUCAGAUACCUGAAGGGAACUGCAGAUUAUUCACUAUGUUAUAGUGGAAAUGAUUUAUACUUGAGAGGAUAUACAGAUGCUGAUUGGGCUGGUGAUCGGAAUGAUAGAAAAUCAACAUCCAGUUAUGCCUUCUUACUUAAUGGUGGUGCUAUGUCAUGGAAAAGUAAGAAACAAACCUGCAUAGCCCUUUCAACAAUGGAAGCUGAGUUCGUGGAUUGUGCGUCUACAGUACAAGAAGCUGUUUGGUUGAAGAGAUUCUUUGAGCAUUUGAAUAUUACAUAGAACUCUCAGGGUCCCAUGAAAUUUAUUGUGAUAGUCAAGCGGCUAUUGCAUAUACAAAAGAUCCUAAGUAUCAUAGCGAGACCAAACACAUUGACAUCAAGUAUAACUUUGUAAGAGACAUGGUAGCAAGUGGAGAGAUAAAUUUACAAUACAUUCCUACGCGAAGCAUGAUAGUUGAUCCUUUUACAAAGGCGAUAUCUAGAGAACUGUUUGAGAAACAUGUUAUGGCUUUAGGUUUGCAAAGGAUAUGAAAAUAUUUAUGUAUUGUAAAAUGACUAAAGUAUUAAAAUAUGCUCAUCAAUAUUUGACUCUUGAAUUAUGCUUAUAUCUCGUAUGUGUGUGAUGAUGUUUUGUUGAUAAAGUGUGUCGAACAAGUCGCGAGAUUGGCUCUCUCACACGAGAAAUCGCCUCUUACGUUAAGAAUCGUGAAGAGAUGAGACAUUAUGGAACCUUGGAUAAUGUGAGGUUAUAUUUACUUGUAGAGGUCGGUCUUGACAAUUAAUCAGACUUACAAAUAUCACUAUUCGAUUAUGACUUGUUUUGUAAGCCAGAUGGAUGUUUCUCUAAGAAGAUGGUUUGAGGAUUAUUGAAGUGAGAAACUCGGGUUAGACAUUUAGAGGUGUCUAGACCAAGAUCUGUACGGUGUUGAACGAUUAAAAGAAUUAGGCACGCGCACCAAUAUAAUGAGAACACCGUAACAUGUGUUUCAUACCACAUGUGCUAUCGACCAUGGGAUAAUGGAAGAAUGAAUACCUGUUUCUUCAUUGUGUGAAAUCCCAAAGAAGUUAUAUCAACUUUUAUUAGAAUACCCUUUGACCUUUUAAUCUUGAAGUGCCAAUCAGUGUUGCUACUUUAGCAUGUCACUAAUAGCCAUGAGUGAUUCGGUAAUGCAGUGCAUGUCUAGGAAAGCAGUUGAUUUGGAAUGGAAAGAUUCAAGUAGAAAGGGAAGACGACUAAAAUUUAGUAAUUUAACCUGUAUUCAUAGGUCGACCAUUACACUUACCAUGAGGGUAUUGGGUGUAAUUGUGGAUAGAAAGUUAAACAUGAACUCGAGUUCGCCUCUUUUCUGAGGAUGAGGGAUCGGAUAAAUAGCUACUAGAAUAGCCAACAAUGUCUGGGGUAUUGCGAGUAAUAAUAAGAUCCUCAUGGUAGUAGUAAAUCCCUUCCGCAUGUGAUCGGAUUUCUACAUAGAGCUGUUAAACAAUCUUAAAGGGAUUAAGAAUAUUAUGGCUCUUAAUGCUCGCAGGUCGCACGAACUAUUUCCCAGUAUGAAUCAUGUGUGUUGCUUUCACGGUAGUUACUAGUUUGGAUCUAGUCCACCUGUGCGAAGUGGGAGAUGUUGGAUAUACGGUUUGGGUCGUGGGUCGCCCAUGUGGACUGACCCGACCCGUUUUAAAAAGAGAUAAAAAAGAGAUAAAACCUAAGGAGGUUACACGUAGGUUUUUACUCUCAAAAACUACCGCACGUUUCUUUUAAGAGACGUGAGAACGUGGAGUAGGAGUUAUCAUCGGUAGUUCUCCCCAUCUCCUCUUCUCUAUAUACUUCUCUUCAGUACAGAGAUUCUAGUGUGCAAAAAUUCAAGAAAGGAAGAACACAGUGAACUUUAGGCAUUUAGUUUAUGAACAAAACCUCUGUUUCCUGAAGAUUCAGAAUACGAUUUGGGGCAAUUCUUUUGGUGGUAAGUUCAACGGUUUUCGCUGCAUCAAUAAGGUACACAAUUCGUUGUUCUCGCCCCGCGAUUAUUAAGUAACAUGCCCCUUGUUACUUCCUUUCUUAUUUGCGUUGUUCUUAGGGAGAUGUCCUCCGGCCUCCUAUUCCAACUGCGCAUAUCAUGUAAUGUAGGUCGAUAAGAAGUUGCAGUAUCAUGAAAUCAAUAAACAAACAUGUGUUUUAUUUCUCUCAUAUCAGAUGGCCGUGCCCGCGUAUGCCCCAUAUUGUUAGAAAAUCUCAAAAGUUCAAUUCAGUAGAGCAGAACACUUUUAAAGCUAAACAAAUUGAAAAACAUAGCACUCAUCCAAAAGCUAGUCAAAUACAAAUAACCAACCUGUUAUAAUAUGAUUUUAUUAUUAAAAUGGAGAUUCAUAUAAAUGAAAAUUUUACCUACUGAGUAGCUACUUUCAUAUAAUUAAACAUAUAUAAGUCACGUCAACUAUUUACAAUAUUUUUCUUGAAUUUAUUGAGUGACCAAUGAGAACAGGGAGUUUUAUGCUUCAAGAAUUCUCUUAGCAUCAGCAACUAAUGUGCACGAAUACUUCUUUUUCAUCUGGAUAUAACUCCAGCGAUGGGCUUAUCAAAACCUGCAUAAUAACAUGUGAAAUAUCAAAAGUUUCAUUCAUUGAACAAACAUAUUCAAAGUGCUGAGAAUCCAAAGUCUAGGUACUAAAGUUUGUUCUAUCCAAGAAAUAUUCCAAGAUAAUAUAUGUAGUCUGUUGAUAUGAUUCUUUAUCCCAGCCAUUCAAGGACAUCAUAGAGGAAAUGAGAAUACAAAAAGUAAUAAUUGUUAUGCAAAUUUCUAGGAGUUCUAUUUAUUGCUACAAUGAGGCUGGAACCUUUGGGUUAAUGAGCGUUCCAAUAAUGCAAGUUACACCAGAAUCUCCACCUUGCCUAUAUUGUCCAGGUUUCGUAGGCGGCAGGAUAUCUAGAUAAAACUCUCAAAACUAUAAGUUAAUACAAAGAAUUGUGUAAUACUUCUACCAUUAGUAGUCGGAAAAGAACCUCAGCAAAAAAUUUUUGGGAUCCUAAUAAUCAAACUUAGUAUUUUCUUUUUGCUCUUCUUCAGGUAAAACAUCACAUGCCAAUGUUUCUUCAAUAAAAGGACUACCAAAAAUAGUCAAAAUCCAUGUUACCAACAGGAAGAUAUGUCUUAUGAUAAACAAUUCAUAAGCAUUGUUUAAAAUGAAAUAAAAACUGAUUUUUCAGGUGACGAUCCUGUAAAACAUUUGGAAAUGAAACAACAUUAACUCCGAGGAUAUAUAUACUAAUUCAUCUACAUGUGCCAGUAACCUUUACAAAGGUUCUGCUUCAGGAUCUAUCCCUUUUAACAACAUCAGAGAAAGCUAUAGAGAAAUGGUGCUGAAAUUUCUAAAAAGAUUGUAUCAUUUUAUAUGACAGGAGCCUGGAAAUGAUAGGUUAGUUAAGAACCUCUACAGUUUGACAUGGAUAAAUAGACACCUCAAGCUAGAGUUUUGAAUUUUAUAGAAUUAGUUGAAGAGAUCUUCUGUAGGCGAACAAUCUAUUCCUUUACGCUAUGCCACCUAUCUAUAUAUAU